CAAGCAGUCACCUCUGCGUUAACAGUAAAUUGUCUGUAUUUCGCCUCUUAUAUCAUUAAUAAUUUAAUAAUAAACCCAUGAUUAAACUUUAAAAAAAUAUUAAUGUAUUCAGAAAAGUUUAAUUAUUUAAUACUAAAUGAUUUAUGGUAAUGGUAUUAUUAAAGCAAAAACUACAGCACUUAAACAAAUGAUUCCCAUUUACGCGCGUGAAUAAGAACGAAUUUAAAAAAUUUAUUUCUCGAAAACGGUGUAGCGAUUUGAAAUUUUAAUAGUAAUCCUUUUUUUUAUAAUUCUUUCGUUGAAAAGAAUUUUAAAAUUUUGGUAUUAUUUUGAAAAUUGGUAUCGAACCUCUUCAAUAUUAAGGUGCCUAUUCUCGACUUUUGAUUCUCCAUUUCAAUAACAUAAGAAAAAAAUUUUUCAAAUUUGGAAUUUUAUAUCUUGACAAUGGAUUAUUGUACAAAUUAGUUUAGCAUAUGUUUUUGUAAGGAAUUGAACGCUCUGUAAAAAAAAAUCUCUAUUCAUUUUUUGAUAAAUCUAUUUGUUCAAAAGUUAUUGGAGCUCAAAGUCAAGUUAUACUAAAUUUUGAGAUCUUUUUACUUUUCCGGCGAAACUAUGAGAUUUAUCAUGAAACUUAAUAAAAACUUUUUUGUAGACAAUUUUACUAUCUACAAAUUAUUUCGCGUAAAGUUUUUUCAAAUUCUGCAUUGUUUUCUAGUUAUUUUCAUUUCAAUGUCGAGCUCUUAAGAUCAAUCAGAACGCUAUUUUUUUAAGAGCUUGACAUUAAUAUGAAAAUAACUAGAAAACAAUGCGAAAUUUGAAAAAACUCCACUGGAAAUAAUUUGUAGGGAUUAAAAUUGUCUACAAACAAUAUUUCAUGACGUUUUGUGAUAAAUCUGAUAGCUUCACCGAAAAAAUAAAAAGAUCUCGAAACGUAUUACAACUUGACUUUAAUCUCCAAUAACUUUUGAACAUAUGGGUAUAUCAAAAAAUGAUAAGAUACAUUUUCGCGGAGUGUUCCCUAUAAAAAUAAUUCCUGAACUUAUCUGUACAAUGAGCAAUUGCCAAGAUACAAAAUUCCCAAAUUAAAAUUUUUUUUUUCCCUUGUUAUUUAAAUAAGAAAUCAAAAAUCACGAAAAGGCACCUCUUAAUAUUAAUAUGAAGAGCUCAAACUUAACCAGAUUUUUUUUUAUCAUCUUUUGGAUAGCUUGCUUUCUUAUCAUCUUGACAAUUGAUUUUAUUAACAUCAAAAUCAUUUCGAAAAUGAUAAGGAAGCAAAAUAUAAUUUCAAUUCUUUUUUUUGUGUAUAUAGAUAUACAGUUUACAUGGAGUGACCGCUUCUCAAUUCUUUUCAAUCAGUAUUUUUAACCAGGGUGGUACUACACAGUAGUGCUCAAAAUUAAUACAAAAUAGCAACACUAUAUAACUAUUCUUUACGAGCAAUUUUUACCUGGUUAUAACAGUUAUAAAAAAAUAUUCUUCGCUAUUUAAGAUAUAAUAGUAAUAAUGACUACGUUUUAUAGUUAGCGUCAACAAUUAAAAUAAUAUUAGUAACUACUUUGGCUUAGUUAAUUUUGAGUAUUUGAUAUAACUUGGAAAAAAAAGUUACUGUAACGGAACCUUGAGCAGCACUGACAAUAAUAAUUUUGUAGUUAGCUUUAAUAGAUUAAAGUAGUGUUAGUAACUAUUUCAGCUCAACGGAAAUGAAUUAGUAGAUAUAUUGAUCAUAAUUAACUUAUCAAAACUUAAAUUUUAGUAGUGGAGAAAAAUUGUGUUUAAGUAGUUUGCUGUAUUAAAUUAGAAUAGUAUAGCAGUAACCGUUUUAAUCUAGUUGAUGAUAAGUAGUUAAUAUAACUAUGAAAAAUUAGUUUUUAUAACGUAAUUCUUCCCAGUAAUUACAAUAAUUUAUUUAUAUACUGAUGGAAAGAUUUUUUAGUAUUUAAUAAGCCUUAUCAACUGUUAAUAAAUUAUUUUUUAACACGAGAUGAUUUAAUAAAUAUUCAUUACCAGUUAACAAAUACUUGUUAAUAGUUAAUAAAUCAUUUAUUAAGAUAGUUGAACAAAAAGUGAGCAUGAAAGCUUUACUUCGACACUUUUUAUAACUUCAUAACUUCAAUAAUUAGUAGAAUUUAAUUAGAUGAGAUAAAUUUAUAGCUAUUUCAAAGAACAAACAGAGAAAAUAAAAUGAAUCAUAAAAAAAUAGUUGUAAUAAAUUACAGAAUUUUUUUUUGCGGUGAAAAUAAUUAGGUUUUUUAAACAACAAAUAUGCAAAAAAUAUAACAUGUAUGAGUAUUUGAAUCAGUUAUAUCAUGCUCUACAGAAAAGUUUCAGAUGUGCAUGAAGACUUGAAUCUUAUUCGUUUGAUUGUACUGACUCAUCAACAUUGGAUAUAGUUCACCCAGACCCCAUGAAUUUAUCAACACAUCCAUUUAAAUCAAUUUUUAAAAAACUUUUAGGGCCACUUUAAACUUUUUUUAUUUAAAACUCGACUCAAAAAUAUGUUCAGUACUUACCCUGAUUAGAAAAUAUAAUUUGUGACGAUUAAAAGUUCAAUCAUCAUUAAUCGGCUUUAAAUUGUCAUGGUUUUCACAUUUAAUUGUCUCUAAUCGUCAAAAAAACAAAUUAUUAUUUUACGAUUAAAAACAAUUAAUGACCAUUAAAAUUUCUAAUCAUCAUGAAUCGUUUUCAUUCUUUAUGCGUGGCCGUAAAUUUUAUUAUUAUUUUAAGAUUAAAGACGAUUCAUGACGAUUAAAAAUUUCAAAUCGUCUUCAAUCUUCAUGUGGGAACAGACAUUGUAAUAUUAUUUUACGAUUAAAGACGAUUCAUGACAGUUUAAAGUUUUUAGUCGUUUAAAGUAAAAUAAUAUUACAGUUUCUGGUUCCACAUGAAGAUAAAAAACGAUUUAUGACGGUUUGAAACGACUAAAAAUUUCAAUCGUUUUUAAUCCUUUUCAAUCAUCAAUUGACGAUUCGAGUAUUUUCUAGUUAGGGCAGUAUCGUAUCUUUAUUAAGAAGGGUUAUAGCGUUAUUGAUUUAUGAACGAUCUUCACGGCGUACUGUCAAAAAAGACACAUUCACUCUAAAAAUAAUUUAUUAACUGUUAAUAAAUAUUUGUUAACUAUUUAUAAAUAAUAUUUAUUUUUAUUCUAUAAAUAUAAUAUUAAAUGUUGAAAAAUAUUUAUUUAUUACUUAAGAGUUAAAAAAAUUUUUCAACUUCUCUAUUUUGAACCUAUAACUAGUUUCAAAUAUUAACCAGCAAUUUAUUAUUAUAUUUUGUAUUAAUUUGAUUUUUUUACUACAUACGUGUUUUUAUUAAAAAUAACCUUAUUUGUUAUUUUUAACUAUGGUUAGUAACAACUAUGUAUGCUAAUAUUUUAUUUUAUUGAAAUUAAAUUAGAUGGGAAAAAAUUCCAAUUAACAACCAGAAUGGAAAAUAAAUUUUUCAAAAAAAAUUUCGAAGUUUCUUGAAAUUGGUGAAAAUUAACAUGAAAUAAAAAUUAAGAAAAUGAAAUCAAAACCUAAUUUAUCAGCUGUAACCUUCUACUUACAGAAUCCAGUCAAGUCAUGUUAGUAGAAACACAAAAAAAAAAACAAACAAUUUUUGAAAUUAUACCCGGGAAUCUGGAUGGGAACAUAGGGAAUUUC